CCUGCUCACCUGCCAGGGCAGUGGCUGCUUUGUAAUAUCUUGAUCAAAACGUGCCUGAAUAAUGAAGGCAAACAUGAUCCGCUGGUUCAACACAAUUCUGAGGUCUCUGUACCGGUCUCGAUUUUCAUCAGCUGUGUGGAAGUUCUGACUCGACUGGAAACGUAACCCACAUUCCACAUUCUGGCAAUGCAGAAGUUUGAAAAAAUCCAUCCCUCAAGCAUUGCCGACUUCCUGGCUUGUUCAUCGAUUAUAGUUGACCCUCCGGGGUUUCAAGUGAAACAGCACAUUGAGGUGUCUUGUGAUCCAAAGUUGUUAGAAGUCCCCCGCCCCAAUUGCCCCAGUUUACAAAGAAUUGGGCAUUUCCCCAAAUUCUAAACCAUUUGCUUUUGUUUGCCUAGUUUAAUCCACAGCAUGAGGCCUGUCAGAUACAAUGAAACACAAUUCUGACCACAGUAACACCAUGCUAAGAUGAGCAGAAUCCUGGAGAAACAGGCCAACAAAAGCUACAGCCAGAGCCAACAGGUCCAAAUGGAUGAGUGAAGCAGAAAUGGUGGCCUCCUGACAAGAUGUGGACUGCAAACCACCUUUUGACACAA
rnacentral:lncRNA from 1 species